rfam:Aedes albopictus isolate Foshan contig34456, whole genome shotgun sequence.
UGCCCAGCAACUCCUAUCCCUACCUCCACGCGGCACCGGCCGGAAACUAUGAGCAACCUUAGGGAAGAUCGGGUAACCAACCCCGGUGGGAACUUUGGUCGUAGGCUGACAGGGAAGG